AAUAUUCUGGAGAACUAGCUCUUUUUCGAAAUUCUAACUGUAUGUAACCCCUUAAUAUAAUUAAUUCAUUCAAAUUAUUGUUUUCUCUCUCUCUCUCUGUCAGCUAUUAUGUACUAUAGUUUUAGUUUAAUUCAUUUUAUAUUCUCCGAAAGUUCAAAGCUUGCUAACUCAAUUAUUUCCUGAUUCGUAUUCAUAAGAAAACAUACGUGGUCCUGAAACGACCAGAACAGCACCCGUUCGAAACCAGUCAAAUUCUCGACUGUGUCAGUUGAGUAGCUCUUUCGAUGCACAUGCUCUCACAAAAUAAAUUAUUUGAAUGUACUCGUUUAUAAGUUACUGAUAUUAACAAUGACACUUAUCUGCCCGCAACUUCUCAAGAAACGCACAGGCAUACACUUGUCGACACUGACUUAAUGAGAUUUAUAGCGUACAAGGUCUCGGAUACAUAUGUACACAUGUAAUUUUUUUUAGUCAUUAACAUGUAUGUAAAUAAAAACAAAUAAGCGAACAAAUUUACAUACGGAUAAUGAUUCAAUAACUUUAAGAAUAUAUUUAAUUAAAUGAGCUUACACUUAAUAAGUCGUGCUUUAUUUAUAGUAAAUUAUUAUAAUUAACUGAUUUAAGGAUAAGCGAAAAAAAGUAAUUGAAUUAGAUAGGAUUAAGGUUGAGUUGAGAUUGCAUUGAAAUCUAUGGACUAUCGUGCCCUCUCCUACCAUUCAAAUACUAAUAAAGCAAUAGCUUAAACGAUUAAGAACCCUUCAUUAUCUGAAUGCGCUAGCUUAAGUGAUUAGAAAUAUAUAAAACCGUUUUGUGUGCCUUACGGAUUUUAUGUGCCAUUAUCAAGUUACCUGUUAUCCCUAAGGUCUACGGUACAUAUGUGAUAAAGUUCACAAAUAAUUGUUCUGGAUCAGAGUAUUAUUAAUUUAUGACCUUUUAGACUAUCCCUAAACAAAUUAUUUACUUGAAUGCGAAAUAAAAACCUAAACACAGUUUUCGUAUACUUCUUGAUAUAAUAUGUAUGCCAUCAUCGACAAACAAUUUUAAAUAAAAAGAUCAAAUUGGAAAUCCACGCGCGUCUAACAUAUCUGCGUAAUAUAUCAAUGCUCAUAAAUAAAACUUGACUUAUAAAAAUAUUUCUUCCGCUCUCCCUAUCUCCCUCUCGUAACAUUUUCUCUAUGCUAUUAAAUUCAAAUGUACUUAUCUAGCCGGUGGUGUGCUUAUCUAUUAGUACAUACAAAUCGCUGCAGUAGGAUGGACGAUGCUAAAAGUAUGAGCUCAUUUACCGCAACGGAAUACGACAAUGAUGAACUAGUGCCGCCGCAAUGGUUGAACAAUGGCUUCUUCGAGCAUGUCUUGCAGCCCCAAAACAGCGGAGAAAUUUGUCAAAUAACAAAUAUGGAAAUUCAGCCAGCAACCAAAAAAGGUGAACACUAUGCCAGUGCCAUGUUCCGAGUUAAGGUGACGUUUAUUUUGUCCGGCGACUGUGAUGCCACACAAUGCCAGCAAACUAAGUCAUUUAUUGUCAAAGCGCUACCAGAGUUGGCGGGUGAGAAGCAGCGUUUGCUGGAGAACUCAAAGCUUUUCGAAACCGAAAUCGGCAUUUAUAACGAUGUCUUGCCCAAACUGGUGGAGAAGCUGCGCUUGGCAGGCGAGUGCAUACGAUUUGGCGCAGAUUGCCUACAUCAUGCUCUGAUGCCCAACAAGGUAUUGGUUUUUGACGAUCUAAAGCAGCUAGGCUACGAAAUCGUUCGCAAUCGUGCAUUGACUUUGAGCGAAAUAAAAGCAGGCUAUCUCAAGUUAGCCAAGUGGCAUGCGGCAAGCUAUAAAUUGACGAACGAGCAACCCAAAAGUUUUGAAACAUAUGCUGAUAGUUUCAUGACCCUACCGUAUGUCGUCAACAGCUCAUUCAUAUCUGGCGGUAUCAAGAACUUUAUCGAUAUGCUCGAUACGGUGUCGUCGUUAAGCAUGUACAAAAGUUACUUCCAGCUCCUGCAGUCCGACUGGGCUACCAAAUGUCGUGCAACGUAUACCGAGUAUUUUUCUAAUCGUCAACUACAAACCUGGUAUGGCAUCUGCCAUGGAGAUUUGCUCGCCAAUAAUUUGAUGUUCCGACAUGAUUCUCUUACUAGCGAAUUGGAGGAUGUAUUGCUCGUGGACUACCAGCUCGCUUAUAUGGGACCUUUAGUCAACGAUCUCAUAUAUUCUUACUUUAUGCUCUAUACGCCGGAGCAACGCGCCAGCAAUCAUGACGAACUUUUUGAGUAUUAUUUCAGACAUUUUGUACAGACUUUGGAGUUACUUGGAUGUCAAACAGAACUGUUAACCUUUGAGAGUUUCCAGCAACAACUGAAGAGACAGAGAGCUUUAGGUAAAUAUCGCAAGCGUAAAUUUUUACUUGCGGAGCGAAGUAGUCAUCAAUACAACAUUCGAAUAACUUAAUAAAUAACACAAACUUGAAAACACUCAAUGGCUUAAGAGCUCGACGCAAGUCUUUCACAACUCACUAUUUCUCUUAGUCAGCUUCCUGCCCAUACGCUAUGCAUUGCGCGCUGGUUUAAUAGACAGAGAUCACUUGAUGGCCACCGACGAGGAA